rnacentral:ncRNA from 2 species
AAGCUGCUGGGGGAGCCGAAGCUCCCCCAAAGUGUGUGCUCUUUAUUGUUGUUUUCUGUUCGGGCUUCUUGUUUUUGUUGAGUGCCCAUUCACGAGACUUUCGUCUGUGAAACCUCCCAAUCGGGAGUCAAGAGCAAACGGAUUGCUUUGGUCGCUGCGUUGCAAUGAUCAUUCGAUCCAACCAGUUCAGGCGCUACCUAAGGAGGCG